rnacentral:rRNA from 1 species
AUUGAACGCUGGCGGCAGGCCUAACACAUGCAAGUCGAACGAGUGGCGGACGGGUGAGUAAUGUCUGGGAAACUGCAUGAUGGAGGGGGAUAACUACUGGAAAAGGUAGCUAAUACCGCAUACCAUAAGAUGUGCCCAGAUGGGAUUAGCUAGUUGGUGGGGUAACGGCUCACCAAGGCGACGAUUCCGAGCUGGUCUGAGAGGAGGACCGGUGACACUGCAACUGAUACACCGCCCAGACUCCUACGGUAGGCAGCAGUGGGGAAUAUUGCACCAUGGGCGCAAGCCUGAUGCAGCCAUGCCGAGUGUAUGAAGAAGGCCUUCGGGUUGUAAAGUACUUUCAGCGGGGAGGCGUUACCCGCAGAAGAAGCACCGGCUAACUCCGUGCCAGCAGCCGCGGUAAUUC